AGUGAACGCUGGCGGUAGGCCUAACACAUGCAAGUCGAACGGCAGCACAGUAAGAGCUUGCUCUUACGGGUGGCGAGUGGCGGACGGGUGAGGAAUACAUCGGAAUCUACUUUUUCGUGGGGGAUAACGUAGGGAAACUUACGCUAAUACCGCAUACGACCUACGGGUGAAAGCAGGGGAUCUUCGGACCUUGCGCGAUUGAAUGAGCCGAUGUCGGAUUAGCUAGUUGGCGGGGUAAAGGCCCAUCAAGGCGACGAUCCGUAGCUGAUCUGAGAGGAUGAUCAGCCACACUGGAACUGAGACACGGUCCAGACUCCUACGGGAGGCAGCAGUGGGGAAUAUUGGACAAAGGGCGCAAGCCUGAUCCAGCCAUACCGCGUGGGUGAAGAAGGCCUUCGGGUUGUAAAGCCCUUUUGUUGGGAAAGAAAAGCAGCAGGUUAAUACCCCGCUGUUCUGACGGUACCCAAAGAAUAAGCACCGGCUAACUUCGUG
rnacentral:rRNA from 1 species